GCGCCCGUAGCUCAGCUGGAUAGAGCGCUGCCCUCCGGAGGCAGAGGCCACAGGUUCGACUCCUGUCGAGUGCGCCA
rnacentral:tRNA from 1 species